rnacentral:piRNA from 1 species
UGACUUAAAUGCCUAGAGACCUCGGGACCC